rnacentral:rRNA from 1 species
GAUCAUGGCUCAGGAUGAACGCUAGCUACAGGCUUAACACAUGCAAGUCGAGGGGCAGCAUUUUAGUUUGCUUGCAAACUAAAGAUGGCGACCGGCGCACGGGUGAGUAACACGUAUCAACCUGCCGAUAACUCUGGGAUAGCCUUUCGAAAGAAGAUUAAUACCGGAUGGCUAUAGGAUUAUCGCAUGAUAAUCCUAUUAAAGAAUUUCGGUUAUCGAUGGGAUGCGUUCCA